CCUACGGGUGGCAGCAGUGAGGAAUAUUGGUCAAUGGGCGAGAGCCUGAACCAGCCAAGUCGCGUGAGGGAGUACUGCCCUCUGGGUUGUAAACCUCUUUUGUCGGGGAGCAAAAGCCGGACGUGUCCGGCUGUGAGAGUACCCGAAGAAAAAGCAUCGGCUAACUCCGUGCCAGCAGCCGCGGUAAUACGGAGGAUGAGAGCGUUAUCCGGAUUCACUGGGAGUAAAGGGAGCGUAGACGGCCAUGCAAGCCAGGGGUGAAAGCCCGGGGCCCAACCCCGGGACUGCCCUUGGAACGGUGCGGCGAGAGUGCGGGAGGGGCAGGCGGAAGUCCGGGUGUAGCGGUGAAAUGCGUAGAUAGCAGGAGGAACACCGGCGGCGAAGGCGGCCUGCUGGACUGCGACUGACGUUGAGGCUCGAAAGCGUGGGGAGCGAACAGGAUUAGAUACCCUAGUAGUC
rnacentral:rRNA from 1 species